rnacentral:tRNA from 1 species
UCACUGGUGGUCCAGUGGUUCAGACUCUGCAUUUCCACUGCAGGAGGCACAGGUUCAACCCCUGCUAGGAGAA